rnacentral:rRNA from 1 species
AGUGAACGCUGGCGGUAGGCCUAACACGUGCAAGUCGAACGGCAGCACAGUAAGAGCUUGCUCUUACGGGUGGCGAGUGGCGGACGGGUGAGGAAUACAUCGGAAUCUACUUUUUCGUGGGGGAUAACGUAGGGAAACUUACGCUAAUACCGCAUACGACCUACGGGUGAAAGCAGGGGAUCUUCGGACCUUGCGCGAUUGAAUGAGCCGAUGUCGGAUUAGCUAGUUGGCGGGGUAAAGGCCCACCAAGGCGACGAUCCGUAGCUGGUCUGAGAGGAUGAUCAGCCACACUGGAACUGAGACACGGUCCAGACUCCUACGGGAGGUAGCAGUGGGGAAUAUUGGACAAUGGGCGCAAGCCUGAUCCAGCCAUACCGCGUGGGUGAAGAAGGCCUUCGGGUUGUAAAGCCCUUUUGUUGGGAAAGAAAAGCAGCAGGUUAAUACCCCGCUGUUCUGACGGUACCCAAAGAAUAAGCACCGGCUAACUUCGUG